ACGAGAUAGUGAUAUUAAGCGAAACUCAAAAAGACGGUCUCAGUUCGGACUGAAGGCUGAAAUUCGCCUUCACGAAGUCGGAAUUGCUAGUAAUGGCAGGUCAGCAUACUGCCGUGAAUACGUUCCCGGGCCUUGUACACACCGCCCGUCACACCAUGAGAGUUGGGGAUACCCGAAGCCUGUGAGCUAACAGUAAUGAAGCAGCAGUCGAAGGUAGAAUCAAUGAUUGGGGUGAAGUCGUAACAAGGUAUC
rnacentral:rRNA from 1 species